CCCAACUGAAGCAGAGCUUCAGGACAUGAUAAAUGAGGUUGAUGCUGAUGGGAAUGGUACUAUUGAUUUCCCGGAGUUCCUUAAUCUGAUGGCUCGCAAGAUGAAGGACACUGAUUCUGAGGAAGAGCUCAAGGAAGCUUUCCGGGUUUUUGAUAAGGAUCAGAAUGGCUUCAUUUCUGCUGCUGAGCUCCGACAUGUCAUGACAAAUCUUGGUGAGAAGCUGACAGAUGAGGAGGUUGAUGAGAUGAUCCGAGAGGCGGAUGUGGAUGGUGAUGGCCAGAUCAACUAUGAGGAGUUUGUCAAAGUCAUGAUGGCCAAGUAAGGAGCAGUCAACCAUAACUAGAAGUUAAAAAAACAUAAGAAGAGAGAAGGAACGGGGCAGAUAAGUUUGAUGAGAAAAAUACUAUUUCCCUUAGGACAUCUUCAUUUGGUGAUAUUAGCUUUGGUUGGAUUGUCUGUUGGCUUGUUUGCAUUAUUUUGUUGCACUUUCCAUUACUAUUUGCUCUGUUUCUUGUUAGUAGCUUGGCUUGUUAGUUUCUUUCUUUUAUUGUUUGUUAUUUUAUAUCUACCUUUGGAUUAUGAACCUAGAACAAUCUGGAUGGAUAAUCAUGUUUUGCUUAUGCAUGACUAAUUUUGUUAAUAUUCUAAAGUUUA
rnacentral:lncRNA from 1 species